AGUGAACGCUGGCGGUAGGCCUAACACAUGCAAGUCGAACGGCAGCACAGUAAGAGCUUGCGCUUACGGGUGGCGAGUGGCGGACGGGUGAGGAAUACAUCGGAAUCUACUUUUUCGUGGGGGAUAACGUAGGGAAACAUACGCUAAUACAGCAUACGACCUACGGGUGAAAGCAUGGGAUCUUCGGACCUUGCGCGAUUGAAUGAGCCGAUGUCGGAUUAGCUAGUUGGGGGGGUAAAGGCCCACCAAGGCGACGAUCCGUAGCUGGUCUGAGAGGAUGAUCAGCCACACUGGAACUGAGACACGGUCCAGACUCCUACGGGAGGCAGCAGUGGGGAAUAUUGGACAAUGGGCGCAAGCCUGAUCCAGCAAUGCCGCGUGGGUGAUGAAGGCCUUCGGGUUGUAAAGCCCUUUUGUUGGGAAAGAAAAGCAGCAUGUUAAUACCCCGCUGUUCUGACGGUACCCAAAGAAUAAGCACCGGCUAACUUCGUG
rnacentral:rRNA from 1 species